AACCAUGGAUUUCGAUCGACAUGCUAGGAAAAUGUUUCCCUGAUGAAGUUAUUUAACAACUCAAACAUUACACUGGUCAAAAGCGGUAUGUUUAUCCAAUAUCCUGAAAUUUUGUAAAUGUAAAAAUGUUCCUCUCAAAUUCGCUGCUGUACUAAUUUCACCUAUCCAAAUUCACUGCAUGUAACCUGUUUGAGAAAGUGAGGAUCAUCCGAAGAUUCAUAGACAGACAUUGAUGGAGACGGAAAGGCUUUUAUGAUCAUGAACAUCCUCCCGCUGCUAACUUGUCUAUGAAUUUAUGAAAUAAUAUCCAUAUUCCACCACUUCUUUUGGUGGAAGACUAGUUUGGUUUUUCUAUUCCAUAUAUAUUUUUAAAGCAGAGUAGAUGGAGGUGCACUAGCUGGUGUGACCUUUUCAAGGAAUUCAAUACAUUACACUGCAACUCCAUCUGCAGGGGAAGCUAAGGUGAAACAAACAAUAUUGUUUACAAAUCUCUGAAGCAGUCCUUGUGUGAGAGGCAAAUGGAGCCCAAGCUAGAAAUUCUUGCAUGGAUAGAACUUAAAAGCAGCUUUCAAGAGUCAAGGGAAAUAGUAGUGGGGUCGUACUCAAGGUUGAUUGAAGAUUAGCAAAUGGAAUGGUAGAAUAAAAAGGAGAAAAAGAAAAAGAAAAAAAAAAAAAAAAGGAACUGCUGCAAUUCAGUUUUGGAAGAUGCAUCAAGUGAAAAUUGCUUGAAGCACUCAAAGGGUAAGGUUACUUGGGAUACUUGUAAAAGUAAGGCAGCGUUGAGAAGUUUGAACAUUAUUAUUUUCUUCUUGUAUUUUCUAAAUUUGUUUUAUUUUUGGAAAUGGAAACUUUAAAUGUGGGGAUUUUAUAGCCACUAAAUCACCACUUGGGAAAAUCUAACAAAUAAGAGUAUUAUACCAAUUCACUUUGGUAAAAUGAUGCUGUUUCUGGAUGACAAUUCCAUCUUGUAUUUGAAAGAGAAGUUGAUUCCUAGCUUUGGUGAAAAGCACUUCUACUUAUUCAUUUAUUUCUGGCAUGAAUCUUUAACCAUGUUUCUUAUAAAUGUAACCUCAAGAGUCACUUUGAGAACUUUAUGGCUCUCUGAUGCCACAAAUUGAUUUCUGUCAUUAGAAUCUGCAUUUAGCUGCACGUACUUCCCUGAAUAUUUUCUAACCAAGUCGUUUCUAUAG